rnacentral:rRNA from 1 species
AUUGAACGCUGGCGGCAUGCCUUACACAUGCAAGUCGAGCGGCAGCGCGGGGGCAACCCUGGCGGCGAGCGGCGAACGGGUGAGUAAUGCAUCGGAACGUGUCCCGUAGUGGGGGAUAACCCGGCGAAAGCCGGGCUAAUACCGCAUAUGCUCUACGGAGGAAAGGGGGGGAUCCGCAAGGACCUCUCGCUAUGGGAGCGGCCGAUGUCCGAUUGGCUAGCUGGCGGGGUAAAAGCCCACCAAGGCGACGAUCGGUAGCUGGUCUGAGAGGAUGAUCAGCCACACUGGGACUGAGACACGGCCCAGACUCCUACGGGAGGCAGCAGUGGGGAAUUUUGGACAAUGGGGGAAACCCUGAUCCAGCCAUGCCGCGUGCGGGAAGAAGGCCUUCGGGUUGUAAACCGCUUUUAGCCGGGAAGAAAAGGCGGCCCCUAACACGGGUCGUUUUUGACGGUACCGGCGGAAUAAACACCGGCUAACUACGUGCCAGCAGCCGCAGUAAAAC